GAUGAACGCUGGCGGCAUGCCUAAUACGUGCAAGUCGAACGAGAGGAAGGAAAGCUUGCUUUUCUGAAUCUAGUGGCGAACGGGUGAGUAACACGUAGGUAACCUGCCCAUGUGCCCGGGAUAACUUCUGGAAACGGAUGCUAAAACCGGAUAGGUAGCAGACAAGCAUUUGACUGCUAUUAAAGUGGCUAAGGCCAUGAACAUGGAUGGACCUGCGGUGCAUUAGCUAGUUGGUGAGGUAACGGCCCACCAAGGCGACGAUGCAUAGCCGGCCUGAGAGGGCGGACGGCCACAUUGGGACUGGGACACGGCCCAAACUCCUACGGGAGGCAGCAGUAGGGAAUUUUCGUCAAUGGGGGGAACCCUGAACGAGCAAUGCCGCGUGAGUGAGGAAGGUCUUCGGAUCGUAAAGCUCUGUUGUAAGAGAAAAACGACAUUCAUAGGGAAUGAUGAGUGAGUGAUGGUAUCUUACCAGAAAGUCACGGCUAACUACGUGCCAGCCGCCGCAGUAAGAC
rnacentral:rRNA from 1 species